UACGAGUGCCCCAAGCGUUAUCCGGAAUUAUUGGGCGUAAAGGGUGUGUAGGUGGUUUUGUAAGUCUCUUGUCAAAUUCUUCGGCUCAACCGGGGGUCCGCAAGGGAAACGGCAAGACUAGAAGAUACGAGGGGUGAAUGGAACUCAUAGUGUAGGGGUGAAAUCCGUUGAUAUUAUGGGGAACACCAAAAGCGAAGGCAGUUCACUGGCGUAUUCUUGACACUGAAACACGAAAGCGUGGGUAGCGAAUGGG
rnacentral:rRNA from 1 species